AGGAAGAGGAGGAGGGAAGGAGGAAGAGGAGGAGGGAAGGAGGAAGAGGAGGAGGGAAGGCUGCGUUUAGCAGCCACCUCCGGCAGCUAGAGCGAAAGCAGCUGACGGUCCCGGGGGGGAGAGGCUUGCGAUGCCCUCAGCAGCUCCCACCGCCUCCCUGCCCAGCGGCCUGCCCGAGUGCCGGCUUUGCCCUGAGCAGCGGGAGGUCGGAGGCUGCUCGUGAGGGGCAUCAAAUCCUGGGGGGGGGUUCAGGAGCCACCAGGGUCUGGGGGCAGCCCGGGGAGCCUAGCACACCCUCACAGUUAACCACAUGCCCCCCAGCUGAGGCUCUGAAGCUCUCUCCUUAAAACUGCAGGGGAUUUUUGUGGUGCCUCUGACAACCUUUUGCAAUUUCCUGCCUAACAAAGCUGAAGGAAGGGGGGGUGCUGGUGGGAUUGAACCAGGGUGCUAAACUGAGCCACUUAAUUCAUUGGGAAGAUGAUUUUAGCAGCUGAUACAGACAGAGGAUAAACUGCUUGCUUAAACCAGGGAGUAGAGACUACCUGAGGUAAUUUUUUUGCAGCAGCAAAGAGCCUAGGCUGCUGAAUCUGUACCUGGGGGUGUGGGCAGCAGUGGGUGAGUAAAGGGUGGGCAAACACCUUGUAAAUUCUCCCCAUAUUGUGAUUUCAUUGAGCAGGAGGAGAUUGUAAUCUUAAUGGCAAAAUAUGGAAAGUUUCAACUAGAACCUUUUUUCCUGCGCCCUCCGCCGCCACCCAUGAACCCUGCUCCUCUCACCACAGUUUGAGAGGCUUUUUCCAAAGCCUGGGCACUUUCAUCCAGCAGCGAGGGCUUUGGCUGAGUGUUGUGGGAUGGCGUUCAGAUGAUUUGAUGCUAAAAAACUUCAGCUUUGCCACCAGGGACCAGAGCCUUUCCUGUCACCCAAUUCACUCCACGCUCCCGGGAUUUACAGCGUUCGCUCCAUUCUCCUGGUGAUACGAGAUCUUCGGAGGCCUCGUCUGGAGCCCGGUGGCCUUCCCCGAGGGUCCCCUUACCCAUCCUGCAAGGCUGGCUGACGUUUUGUCUCUGUGUCCACCACCCUCCUGGGCCCCUACAUCUGCGGGGCGCGCGGGGGCAGCGGCUCCUGCCUCACCUUGGAUGUCAUCUGCCAGGAAACAGCGGCUCAGUUCUACCUCCGCGCUGCCGUGUUGGAAGCCUCCUUCGCCUACGGCGCUCGCUCAUCUACCCGCCCUCCGAUAAUCUACCAGGAGAACACCGGGGAAGGAACGUGGGGAGGUGACUGUGGAGUGGCCUCAAGGGCCAAUCUUUACUCACGCCAGCAAUGGGAGGGGGAAUGACACUGGUCCCACUCCCACCUCGCACCGAUGCCUCCAAACACGCGGGAGUCACCAGCAAUAUAACAAAUCACAAGGUAUUUGCUCAGCGCAGGGACUCAUACCGUAGGAUAACAGCUUAACUGCCUGAUGUGUUGUUCCACGGUAGGUAACUGCCUUCUCAGCUGCCCUGAUGUACGUGGUCCCUAAGGUGAUCUCACUCCUCCGAUGGAAAUCAUCCGACAAGCCUCCCCUCUCAAACGUGGGGUUCACCCCGCGAACACGGACGUUGCUCGACGACUGCGGUUUCCAGGCUGGGGUUGGGGUUUUGGUUUUUAAUGCACGUUCUAUAAAGAAGCAGCUUUUCACGUGGGGCCGUGGCAACGAAGACAAAGAGCCUGCCGGAGGAAGCUGCAUCCUGGCACAACCGCUUUCCCUUCAGUCUCUUCUGGGUUGGGUGCGGUUUGAUGCUGGUAAUUUGGGCCCAAAUAGUGAAACUUCCAGCUUUAAAAAGAAUGAUGGAGUUGGGUUCGAAGCAGUAAAACUCUCCCUGAACUUUACUGCUACUGGGGGAAGCCAGAACAACCAGCACUCAGGAGCAUGAAUAUGAAACUGGGGCAUUUUAAUUACCACCCACCCCUGGGUUCCCUCCCUACACCUGCUGUGCCAAAAGAACAUUUUCAUGCAGUUGCUGGCAAUGCCGUCCCUGGCUUGUGAGGGGAAACGGGGGACAAUAUUUAACUUGCACCAGGGGCAAGGUGAGUUACUGCGACCCACCCCCCCCCCCGGAGAGUGUUGCUGAAUUAUGAGGCACGAGCGUAACGGCAGGAAUUCCUGCUGCCUCUAACCUCCCUACAAAACACAACUCGGAGGGCGCGCAGUAGACUGUAGAAUUUUAGGGAUGUAGCCAGCGGAUAAACCACCAGCUCGGGUUAAUCUUAGUGAUGAUGUUCACCUUAUGUUACUCCAGAGCGUGGAGCGUGCUGGUGUUGGCGGGGAUAGAGUUGGUUUCCUUCAGGGUAGCUAGUGUGGGGGCUACGUUUUUGGAUUCGUGCUGGAAAUCGUGUUGAUAACACGGGGAUGGUUUAGCUAUUGCUGAGCAGGGCUUGCGCAGAGCCAAGGCCUUUCCUGCUCCUCACCCCACCAGCG